GGAGACAGAAAGAGAGAGAGAUCCAGAGACCGAGUCUUACGUUGACACGCAGAGAGAAAGACGCAGAGACAGACAAACAAACAGAUAGGAGAGUGUUUAACUGCUGAAGAGAUCUUUUCCCUUCAUGGCUUUUCAAAUGCUACCCAAAUAACCAGCUCCAAAUUCUCUGUCAUCUGUCCAGCAGUCUUACAGCAAUUGAACUUUCACCCAUGUGAGGAUCGGCCCAAGCACAAAACAAGACCAAGUCAUUCAGAAGGCAUUUGGAUUUGAUCCCAAAGUCGACAGUUAUGUUGAGAAGGCAGUUGCUGUGUUUGGUGGAUUUUACCUACUUUUCUUUUUUGAAAGAAUGCUAAAGAUGUUAUUAAAGACAUAUGGUCAGAAUGGUCAUACCCACUUUGGAAAUGAUAACUUUG
rnacentral:lncRNA from 10 species